ACCAUACUAAGUAGUAUGUGCGCUGUUGUCUAUGUUAUGUAGACUUAAAACUCUGAAACGUUUUUUUUUUUUUAUUGGUGAAAUUUUUACUGGGGCACUGCAGAUCAACACUGGGGCACGUGCCCCAGUGAAAUCUGUCUGGCAACGCCACUGGUCGGGGAUACAUAAUAUUUAUAAUGAUUGACAUCGCUAAUAACACGGAAGUGCUGGCGCAGUCUGAACAAGCCACGCAGCUCCCGCGGGAGGGCAUGCCGAAUAUUUCAUAAUUUCGCAAAAAAAUUACCUUUUUCUGGAUUAGCUGCUGGUCGGGGGAGACGAGCGUGCAUUGUUUGUGCUUUUGGUUGAGGCAGAGGACGCAGACGAGGCGGCCAUGUUGCGGGCAGUAGAGCUCCACGGGCUUGUUGUGCUCCAUGCAGAUGCGCUCCAUCAGAUCGCCGGCGGGCUCCGUCAGCUGGUGGACGUGGAACACCGGGUUGUCCAGGUGCGGCCGCAGGUGCUCCGCGCAGAAAGACGCCAUGCAGGAGAGAACACACCGAAGGUAAUACAAAUAACAGAAGAAAUGAACUAGGCCAGUGGUUCUCAAAUUGGGGUACUUGAAGGUAUGCCAAGGGACGUCUACAACAAAUCCGUGAAGGAUGUCCCAGAUUCGGAGCAAAUGGCAGAACAAAGGUUACUCAAAUAGCGAAAGGGGACGUGGUCUGCGGGCCUGCAGCGAAGCAGGGUGUGCCAGGACCGGCCUCGAAAUCAGCGACAGGUGCGUAGACGGCCCACCUGGGCCUUGUUAUCUAAUCACCUGUCGCUCUGUUAUAAGCAGCAGCCAGGAGGAGAGACGGGGUUGGGGCUGGAGCCAGAGCGCGAGCGAGAACGAAAGAGAAAAAGACAACUGCUGGAAAUCAACUGAGAGACUUACUGAAAAAUAAAACAAUAUUGUAACCCUGAAA